rnacentral:ncRNA from 2 species
AUAGAUACAAAUGGGAGCUUGUAGGCAGGCUGAGAGGAAGUACCCAUACUUCGACCAUAAACCUGAUUUGGAUAAUGCCAACGUAGGGACAUACUUCGGUUAUGA